UACGAAGGGGGCUAGCGUUGUUCGGAAUUACUGGGCGUAAAGCGCGCGUAGGCGGUGAUCUUUGUCAGAGGUGAAAGCCUGGGGCUCAACUCCAGAAUUGCCUUUGAAACGGGAUCGCUUGAGUCCGAGAGAGGAUGGCGGAAUUCCUAGUGUAGAGGUGAAAUUCGUAGAUAUUAGGAAGAACACCGGUGGCGAAGGCGGCCAUCUGGCUCGGUACUGACGCUCAGGCGCGAAAGCGUGGGGAGCAAGCAGG
rnacentral:rRNA from 1 species